rnacentral:tRNA from 1 species
GGGCAGGUUCCUGAGCGGUCAAAGGGAGCAGGCUGUAAACCUGUUGGCUCUGCCUUCGGGGGUUCGAAUCCCUCCCUGCCCACCA